rnacentral:lncRNA from 1 species
GACCUUGCAUCCUAUAAUACAAGUAAUUGCAUACUUAAUAUCUGUAAUAAACUAUAAAUCAUAAAGUGUCUCAAGAAUAGUAGCAAUUGACCAGGCUUGUGUUUCACAGCUGAAAGGACAGUACUGGGCAUUCUCAUUGGUCAGUUCUGGAAGUCCUUUCCAAGGGGAUCUCUCAAGAUGAACAUAAUGUCGGGAAAGAACAUUUUUAACCAAAACUAUAGUCUUUGCAGUAGUCUCCG